ensembl:lncRNA
UUUGGUUUGCUCACAAGCUCACACUCUCUCCUCUAUAAAUCAAAAUUUACACUGUUAAUCUUUUUGUUCUUACUCCUAGCUAAAUUCUCACUGAAGCUGAAGCCACCAAUUGAGGAAGAAUUAUUUGUCAAUGGUACAGUUGUCUUGGAGGCUGUUGUUUCUGGAGAUACACAGGCAGUGAAAGAAGCUUCAGUGUCAUGCAAAGUGAAGAAUGAACCUUCAAUAACUGUACCAGGAACUACAGACUUUUAUACGGACAUUUCACAGUUUAUAAAAGUCAACAACAUCAUUGUUGAUGCUAAGAAAUGGUUUGAUGGUGAAAUGGUCACCUGCACAGUUCAUGACAAAAACAACAACAGAGACAUCAAGCAGGAGAUCUUUUUCUAUAAAGGAGAUGGACGGAAACCCAGUGUUGUCAUUUACAGACCUGAUAAUAUCCACGCUGACAGCAUCUCUCUAGUGUGUGAGGUCUCCAGCCCUAAACUCGGCAAUGUCUAUAUCAUGUGGAAAGUGGGCGAUGGGCCUUACAUAAAGGGCUCAACCAUCGCUCCUAUCCAUCUAAAGGACUCCACGUCUGUUCUCAGCAUACUAACAAUGACAAAACAGGAAUAUGAAUGGCACAACCCCAUCACAUGCGCCGUCAUACAUGUCAACAUGGAUAAUAUGAGGGCUCCUUUACAAGUUUCAACAUCCCAAAGUAAACAGAAAGAAGUGUCAUGUGAUUAAUGUUCAAGUGCUGUACCAAACAAUCACAGUGUUUAUCUGUUGUUCACUUCUAUGUUCUCCAGUGCUUCCCCUCACCAAAAAGUAGUAUACUUCAAGUUUAUUUUAUUAAGUAUACUUAAGUAAAGUUCAAGUAUAUUUUUAAGUAUACUUUAUGUAGCAAGUAUACAAAUAUCAGUGUUCUAGUAGUAUACUUGUAAGUGUAUUUCAAUACUCCUUGGGACUAAAUUUGCCCACUUUCCUAGUAUAUAAAAGUAUACUUUUAAGUAUAACAGUAGCAAACUUUGAGUACACAACUAGUUUACUUCUAUGUUUGUAGUUUGUACUGCAAUUAUACUAAAAGUGAACUUACAGGUAUACUGAGAGUUUACUAAUUAAUACUUUGUACACUUUGAAGUAUAGUCUCAGUAAACUACUAGUUCAGUAGUUUUAUACUGCAAGUAUACUCAUGAGUUUUCUUUAAGUAAACUUUACAUCAUACUUUAUGUACUUUACUACUAUGUCCCUAUUUAGGUUUUACCGAAAAACAGAGCAAAGUUUGUAGUACAUCUUAGCUGAAGAAUGGAUUUCUCUUAGCACAGAUAUGAUGACAGACAGUUCUUGUUUAAAUGCCUAUUGCAGUAAUGAAACUUUUUUAAAUUUAGCUUUUUUUUUUGUAAAUAAAUCUUUAUUUAAAGUAGUUUAAUGACA